UUAUGUAGAGUGGCAGCAGAGAUCUAGAAAUGGAGAGGGAAAUGGUGGUUGUGAGCAAGCAGGUAGAGCAGAGCAGUGGAGCAGGGUGUUGAAGUGCCAGUGGGGCCAGGCUUGGUUCAGUGGAGGCUGCAGGGAAUAGCAGAGCUUCAUGGAAGCUGUGCUGCACCAGAAACUGUGAGCAUUGGAGACAUUGUUAGUAAGGAUAAGACAUACUUUGAAGCAAUUCUGCAGAAGUGGAACUUCAUACAUGUGCUUUUACCAACACCAUACACUGGCUGUGGGGAAAGCUUUUGCUUUUUUAUGGCUUCUUACAU